rnacentral:rRNA from 1 species
UACGAGGGGGGCAAGUGUUGUUCGGAAUCACUGGGCGUAAAGGGAGCGUAGGUGGGAAGGUAAGUCAGUGGUGAAAUCCCCGAGCUUAACUUGGGAACUGCCAUUGAUACUAUCUUUCUUGAAUACCUUGGAGGUGAGCGGAAUAUGUCAUGUAGCGGUGAAAUGCUUAGAUAUGACAUAGAACACCAAUUGCGAAGGCAGCUCACUACACGGUCAUUGACACUGAGGCACGAAAGCGUGGGGAUCAAACAGG